rnacentral:lncRNA from 1 species
AAAAUAAAUUAUCAAGCAAAUGUUUUUCAAUUCAAUAAUAAAGGUUGCAACACUUGAAGGGAUUUCUACUAUGAUAGACAACUAUUGAUCAUAAAAUUCCAGAAUCGGAUGACUGGGAGCAGUGGCAAACUAGAAAUAGAAAAUUAUAGAAGAAAAUUCCAGAUCAAACCCCAUAUAUCUAUAUUCAUAGAACUAACACAUUCUUUUUUGCGGGGUCAUAGAACUAACACAUUCACUAGUUAAAAUUGUUUAACUCUAGAAGUGGUACUCCACUUUCAGUCUACAUUUGCACCAAAAUAUACAGAAAGAAGUUCUCUAGCUAUAUUUGCAGCACGGCCUUUAAACUUAUCUUCCCAGAGCUUGCAUGUAGUACUCCUACUGGGAUUCACUGAUUUAGUAUGCAGUUGUAGCGACAAUUUGCUGCAAUGGAAGAUCUCCUCACCAUAAGAAAAACUUGGGGCUAGCCGUUAUUUUCACAAAUGUACUGUCAUAUAAACUCAAAACACUUUCUGAAGUUGUUCUAGUUACUGGUCAGAAGAAAAAGGGAACAAAAGUUUACAAAGAAUGAAAUCUCACCGGCCAAGUGCUCUCGGUGGGCAAGGAGGCGGCGCUGCACCUGGGGGAGGAUGUACAGGAGGUGGAGCUUCUCGGGAGAGGGGCCCUGCUCAGGUGAGGGAAACAUGAGGCAGCCCAACUUAGUGCUCGGGGAGGGAUGCUCGUGGAGGAGGAGGCCCUGCUUGGGGGAGAAAGCUUGAGGAGGAGGAGGCCUGCUCGGCGGAGGAAACCUGCGGAGGAGGUGGCUGUUGUGGUGGGGAUGGAGGGCGAUCGGCGACUUUCCUCGGGAGGAAGCAGGCGCUAGGUGCAGCAGGGGAUGGGGAGGAAGCGGCCAAGGGAUUCGUCGGUGUAGGAGGGUGCUCGGCGACGACUAGGCGGUCGGCGGCGACUGUGCUCGGGGCGGAAGCCUACGCUGAGGUGGAGUGGCUGGUGGAGGUGGUGGCGGCGGCGUGGUCUGGUUGGACGCGGCGGCGUGGUCGGGUUGGAGGGUUAGGUUUUGCAAGAUUUGGGGAAGAAAUGGUCAGGGCGAU